rnacentral:rRNA from 1 species
GACGAACGCUGGCGGCGCGCCUAAUGCAUGCAAGUCGAACGGGGGUCCACCCUUCGGGGUGGAACCUAGUGGCAGACGGCUGAGUAACACGUGGGUGAUCUGCCCUUGAGAGGGGGAUAACACAGGGAAACCUGUGCUAAUACCGCAUACGCUCGGCAUCUUAAAUGUGUCGAGGAAAGGGUGCCGGGUAACCGGUUACCGCUCUUGGAGGAGCUCGCGUCCUAUCAGGUAGUUGGUGAGGUAAUGGCCCACCAAGCCUAAGACGGGUAGCUGGUGUGAGAGCACGACCAGCCAGAGGGGGACUGAGACACGGCCCCCACUCCUACGGGAGGCAGCAGCAGGGGAUCUUGCACAAUGGACGAAAGUCUGAUGCAGCGACGCCGCGUGAGGGAUGAAGGCUUUCGGGUCGUAAACCUCUUUUCUCAGGGAAGAGCAAGGACGGUACCUGAGGAAUAAGCCACGGCUAACUACGUGCCAGCAGCCGCGGUAAUACGUAGGUGGCGAGCGUUG